rnacentral:rRNA from 1 species
GGGGGGGGGGGGGGGGGGGGUGGGGGGGGGGGGGGCGGGGGGGGGGGGGGGGCGUGGGGGGGGUGGUGGGGGGGGGAGCGGGGGGGUAGGGCGUGCGGGACCUGCGCUGGACGUUGGGCGGGCUUGAGGCCACUGGGGCGCAGACCGGGGAGGAGCUCCUGCUGCAGGGUGGGGGUUGGAGAGUUUCGGCGGCUGGGGAUGUACUCGCGGCUUAUCAGCUUGUUGGUGGGGUAGUGGCUUACCAAGGCUUUGACGGGUAGCCGGCCUGAGAGGGUUACCGGCCGCAUUGGGACUGAGAUACGGCCCAGACUCCUACGGGAGGCAGCAGUGGGGAAUAUUGCACAAUGGGCGGAAGCCUGAUGCAGCAACGCCGCGUGCGGGAUGACGGCCUUCGGGUUGUAAACCGCUUUCGCCUGUGACGAAGCGUGAGUGACGGUAAUGGGUAAAGAAGCACCGGCUAACUACGUG